AGUGAACGCUGGCGGUAGGCCUAACACAUGCAAGUCGAACGGCAGCACAGUAAGAGCUUGCUCUUACGGGUGGCGAGUGGCGGACGGGUGAGGAAUACAUCGGAAUCUACUUUUUCGUGGGGGAUAACGUAGGGAAACUUACGCUAAUACCGCAUACGACCUACGGGUGAAAGCAGGGGAUCUUCGGACCUUGCGCGAUUGAAUGAGCCGAUGUCGGAUUAGCUAGUUGGCGGGGUAAAGGCCCACCAAGGCGACGAUCCGUAGCUGGUCUGAGAGGAUGAUCAGCCACACUGGAACUGAGACACGGUCCAGACUCCUACGGGAGGCAGCAGUGGGGAAUAUUGGACAAUGGGCGCAAGCCUGAUCCAGCCAUACCGCGUGGGUGAAGAAGGCCUUCGGGUUGUAAAGCCCUUUUGUUGGGAAAGAAAUCCAGCCGGCUAAUACCUGGUUGGGAUGACGGUACCCAGAGAAUAAGCACCGGCUAACUUCGUG
rnacentral:rRNA from 1 species